AGGUGCGAUCAUACCAGCACUAAUSCACCGGAUCCCAUCAGAACUCCGAAGUUAAGCGUGCUUGGGCGAGAGUAGUACUAGGAUGGGUGACCUCCUGGGAAGUCCUCGUGUUGCACCCC
rnacentral:rRNA from 1 species